rnacentral:rRNA from 1 species
CCUACGGGGGGCUGCAGUGGGGAAUAUUGCACAAUGGGCGCAAGCCUGAUGCAGCCAUGCCGCGUGUGUGAAGAAGGCCUUCGGGUUGUAAAGCACUUUCAGCGGGGAGGAAGGCGUUAAGGUUAAUAACCUUGUCGAUUGACGUUACCCGCAGAAGAAGUACCGGCUAACUCCGUGCCAGCAGCCGCGGUAAUACGGAGGGUGCAAGCGUUAAUCGGAAUUACUGGGCGUAAAGCGCACGCAGGCGGUCUGUCAAGUCGGAUGUGAAAUCCCCGGGCUCAACCUGGGAACUGCAUUCGAAACUGGCAGGCUAGAGUCUUGUAGAGGGGGGUAGAAUUCCAGGUGUAGCGGUGAAAUGCGUAGAGAUCUGGAGGAAUACCGGUGGCGAAGGCGGCCCCCUGGACAAAGACUGACGCUCAGGUGCGAAAGCGUGGGGAGCAAACAGGAUUAGAUACCCUAGUAGUC